CNGCNGUCGACGAUUCCUACGGGAGGCAGCAGUGGGGAAUUUUGCGCAAUGGGGGAAACCCUGACGCAGCGACGCCGCGUGGAGGAUGAAGGUUUUCGGAUUGUAAACUCCUUUUGCAGGGGAAGAUAAUGACGGUACCCUGCGAAUAAGCCACGGCUAACUCUGUGCCAGCAGCCGCGGUAAGACAGAGGUGGCAAGCGUUGUUCGGAAUUACUGGGCUUAAAGGGCGCGUAGGUGUCCCGGCAAGUCAGAUGUGGAAUCUUUUCGCUUAACGGAAAAAUUGCAUUUGAAACUGUCGGGAUUGAGUCAGACAGGGGAUGGCGGAAUUCCUGGUGUAGCGGUGAAAUGCGUAGAUAUCAGGAGGAAGGCCGGUGGCGAAGGCGGCCAUCUGGGUCUGAACUGACACUGAGGCGCGAAAGCGUGGGUAGCAAACAGGAUUAGAUACCCUGGUAGUCCACGCCCUAAACGGUGGGUACUAGGUGUGGGGCUCGCAAGGGUUCUGUGCCGAAGGGAAACCAUUAAGUACCCCGCCUGGGGAGUACGGCCGCAAGGUUGAAACUCAAAGGAAUUGACGG
rnacentral:rRNA from 1 species